UUUUCGAAAUCGCUGUAUGGAAAUCCAUUUCUUUCUUCCAAUAUGUAAUUUUUAGAGAGUUGUUUCCAUUCCUAGAACGAAAAUACUGCAAAUUUGAAAUACAAAGUUUGUAAAAAAUCACAUCAAUAAAGAAAAUAACAGCAGCAAAAACAAGACCAACGAAACAAUUGCCAUAGCCAUAGGAGAGAGCCAACUUCUAAAUCCUAUGCAAUCUUCAUAAGGAUCAUUACCCCAAUGCCUCUUUACUGUAUUUUUUUUUUUCUCUCAGAGCUCAUCACACCUUUUCCUUCUUGUUCAGCUAUUCUUAUAUGAGACAAGAUGUGUGGACAAACCUUUUCAUAAGAUUUCUCUCCAAUUAAUAAAUCUGAAUGUCCAAACCCCUCUACAACUACCCUUUCAUGUCUAAAAUUGGGUUGGUGCAGCUUCAUGUACUUGUUAGCUAGAAAUGAAGUCUCUGGAGUCACGAGGAGAGUCCGUCCACCUGAAAUAUAUAGCAUAGAUACUGCCAUCCUUUCUGGAUGGUUUAAAUAUGAGUUGUUACCAUUCUUGUCCACAAUAAAUCCAGAGUUGCAGAUUCUUCCAAGAUGAGGAAAUGCUCCCAUGGGGAGCUUUGUUGAGCAAUAUUCAUUCAAACAUUGAUGCAAGGUAGGGCUCACGUUUUCAUGCCUGAAUGUACUCCCAAAUAUUCCAGAAAAGAUCUCACAUUCCUUGCAGGUGCAUCUCUCGCAUCUUGGUAUGCAACAGGCAAUGAAUUUCAAGAGCCUGUGCCGAGAACUUGUCUGAUGUUUCCAACAAAGGCAGGAUUUUCUUCUUGCCUAGUAUACUCAUUGAUACUGGGACUAGAGGAAGCCACAUUUUGAAUCUAGCUAGUGUAGUAAGCUUGAAGAUCAUCGAAGAAUUGGUAAAAGACAAAGAAGCUAUAUGGGUUGCAGACACAUGACCUCCCAUGAGAGCUAUAUGAAUGGAUAAGCCUCCAACACAGUGUGCAGCUACAUGUAUCCUUGCGCUCGGACCAUGCAAUUCAAGGAUCAUAUUAAUUGUUGCAGGGAUAUCAUAUUUGCCAAUAUCUUCAAUAGUAAAGCUGUUUACUGGAUUCAUCGGGUGCAAUCUUGGUUGCAGUAGCCAUAUUUCAUGCCCUUCUUCCAGUAAGGUUCUGAUCAAAUCACGUGGUUCUGUUGGAAGCCGGUAACUUUCAGUUGAAUGACCGUUGAGAAGGAGGACAGGAUUUAAUUGUUUCUCUCCUUUAAGCCCCAGUGGAUUCUGAAAGCAUUUCCAUUGCCUGCAACUGAUGAAAUGUCCAUCUGUUUUUAUUUUAUGGAGUGUGCUGCUUGAAUAAGGUUUAUGGCAAGAAUCAUUUGGUGUGAAGCCCUUGCGACUCCCUCAUGGUAUUUGUAAGACAUAGGUUCUCACAAAAGUCUGUAGAAGGAUAUAUAUGAACCUUCAUGAGCUGUCUCCUUUGAGGCUUAAGAAGCUCCAAGAAGGAAACUCUAAGCUCUCCUUUUAAAUUCACCAUUGUCUCCCUUGUACAGUUCACUGCAACUUUUUUAAAUGUUACAUGCAGUGUUGUUGUCUCUUUCCAAGCAUAUAAUGCAAAGAGAUAUGGAUUCAUCAUCUUCUUCCCCUCAAGAAUGUAUUUUGAACCAGAGGAAGCUACAAGAAGAAGUCGAUAGUAAAUAUACUGUGUGUAAGGAGUUCUGUGGUCCACCACGCAUAAAUCCACUUCACCUUCACAUAGCCUCUCAUGGUUUCUUUGAACAGAACAGUUGCAUUGUGAUCAUUAUCCACAUUUUUAUCAGCAUCCAAACAUGGGUCUUGUUCAACAGUUAAAAUUUCAAAAUUUCUAUCUCUUUUGCUCUUGUAGUCAAGAACAUCCUGCACAAGGUGCCUACUUACAUGCUCAGCUACUGUUGCAAUAGUAAGACAUGGGUUUAUGCCAACAGAACAUGGGAUUAAAGAAGCAUCACAAAUAGAGGCCUGGGUACACAGAGGUAGGAGUUUUUGGUUCAAAAACCUGACCUUUGUGGUUACAAACCCCAGCUGAAGAAUCCAGUGAUGCAUUCCAUCCACCUAAAAGAUGAACUGCUGUACUCCUGUACCUAGAUAUGAAGAGGAUUCCCCCCAAUUUCUUGGUGAGCUUCUGAUAGGCUUCAAUUUUUUUUGGGAGUAAAGGAUCAUGAGGUGGAGUAAAGCAUAUUUUUUCUGUCUCUUUGUCUAACACAAUAUUCCCAUCACUUUCACCAUAGGGCAUUGAGGGCAAUUGAUUGUGUUGAUUUAAGACCUAUGAUACGUUUCAGCUUGUCAAUAAUCCCAUGAAAGAACCUGUAUCCUGUUGGCCAUCCCUAACUCACUAUCCCUUUAAACAGCAGGUAAGGAUAAGCCGUUGGAAGUACAGCACUCUGCACUGAAAGGCAAAACAGCUAGAAAGGAGAGGCUAGUAUAAGUAAAAGAAUCUGCUUGCUUCAAUUUUCAUAUGCAUUUGUUCAUUAAGUCCUGUACUAUUCUUAUAGCACUUUGCUCAAUUCCACAACCUUUCUUGCCAUGUGAAACAAACCAGCAAGGCUGCUGAUGAAUAGAUGAUUAUGGUGCUUCUUAUUUGACAUAAGUGUGUUUUGUGAAGAUGUCCCGGUAGCGUCUUGAGUCAUUCAAAUCAAUCAAUAAGAAAACAUACUAAUUAAGGUGAGCUUCAAGUCCAAUGAGCAUACCGCUCAACCUAAAACCAGUUACAAGAGAUGUUGUGCAAUGUAUUAUUGCGGUCCCACAAGUCUGAUACUUCACCAUAGUGCAACAUAAACUAAACAUAGAGUGGAACUAAAAGCAAAUUAAGUUUCGCAAACACAGAAGUUUUCAACCUGGAUUUCAACCUGGAUGGUGAAGCCCAAUGAAGUAGUGUAAGAUGAUGAGAUUGAUGGCCCUGGCCUAUCUUGAAAACAAAUCUUUGACAUUUGUUUUCUAUCCAAUCCAUAACCACACAAGGGUGCACUGCUUCCAGCAAGAUAAGCAACUGUAUUCCCAUUACAGCUGAAUCCAGAACCAAGAGCUUUUCAAAGCCUCAAUCCUCUCAUUUGUGAUCGGAAAAGUGUCUCUGUUGUGCCAAAAACUCCCGCAGAUAGGAUUACGAAAUCAGAAGCUAUAUGGUCCACCAUCUUCUUUUUCUAUUGAUUCUUUCUUGUUGGAGAACUUCAUGCAUGUUCCCAGUCAAAUACUGAACCUGACACUCAGUUCUUACAGUACAUCCUGCCUGCAUCACAAGACAUUAUUAUUUCAAAUAAAAGCAUGUCAGACUCCACGGAUUAUUAAUUACUUUAUAUUUCUCAUAAAGCAUUUGUAAAUACCUAAUCACUAUCAAGAAUUAUCUACUGCAGAAUUUUACAACCCUCAUUACAAAUUUUUGGUAUGGUUAUUAGCUUCGAAAUGAAGUAAUACUACCUAAAUCUGUUACUAUCACUUAUAUCUAGAUUUCUUAGCUUGAAAUCUUUG
rnacentral:misc_RNA from 1 species